GCUUUGAUCCCUGCCUGGCCCUGCUCCGGAACGUGAGCUGGCUUCCCGUGCCUGCCUGGAGAGGAGACCUAGGUUCCACAGCCUAGGCCACCUUUCAGUCCCGUGGCACCAGAGGCAGAGCUGCCGGGACACUGGUCUCCCUUGAUUCAGUGGAUGCUUGAAGUUUGACCUAUCUAAACCCAGUUCAGCGGCGCCUACGUGGGAAGACAUACCUGGGGGCACGCGGUUAAGAAGGGGCUGGAGUAAGAUGCUCAGAACAGGGAUUAAGCCCCAAUGUCUCAAAUCAAAACGAAAACAUACUGUCCCUUGUAAUCCACACAACAAACAUUUGAGGUGUCUCUCAUUUCCAGGUGUCAGUUCAAGAAAGCAAGACCAAGUAACUUGUCCUGGGGAACUGGUCAGUGUUUAAUAACGAGUUGAAAGUAAAACCGCCUCUGACUGAGUCUGCCUACCCGCCUCCACCGCAUUACCUGCCUCCUACCGGAAUGUCUCUCUGGCUUUCUAAGCACAGACUUCAUUUGUUCGUGGCUUUAACUGACAUUUAAAAGUGCCCCUUUUUUCUCUUCUGAGUGAGGGAAAGGAAGAGAGAUGCCGCUGUGGGGAAAUAAAAAGGUAGUCUGGGCUGACUCUUCAUCGCCUCUCUGAGUGUCUGGACCCUCCCGUUUCACUCAUUCCAGUUUCCUUGUUAUCCCAUGCAGCCCAGGUUGCCCUUGAGAGACGUCUUGGAUCUUAGAAUGAUUGUCCCCCUCAGUGACCCACCCAUCAGAGGAAGGUGCGUUUCCUGAAGACCUUUCAAUAUAUGCAACUUCGCUUGUCUCACAACAUCCCCAGGAAGAGCAAGGUCAGCUGUGGACCAGAGUCAGGAUUGCCCAUGCAAAGCCAAAGAAUACAACGACAGCGCAACCUCCUCAGUACGGUCCAACCUGUGGACGUCUGCAGCUGAACGCAAAGCCAUCUCCCGUGCCCUUAAACCCAGUGUUCUUCCAACCUUGACAGUCUACAGAUUCUACUCCUUAGUGAUAACCCUACCUCCCACACUGCUAGGAGGGAUCUGCAGUCAUAACUUUAUAGUAAACAACGCAUUAGAUGAUAUGUUCUGGUUCCUGAAAGCAUUUAUAUUCGAAGCCCGAGUCUUGGUUAGGGUUCUUACUGCUGUGAUGAAACACCGUGACCAAAAGCAGCUUGGGGAAGAAAGGGUUUAUCUGGCUUGCUCUUCACAUCACAGGAAGUGAGGGCAGGAACUCAAGGAGAGCAGGAACCUGGAAGCAGGAGCAGAAGCAGAGGCCGCGGAGGAGAGCUGUUACUAGCUCAUUCCCUGUGACUUACUCAGUCUGCUUUCCUACAUGGUCCAGGACACACUCACGCACCACCCCCAGGCCUGGUGGUGUGGCCCACCAGUGAGCUGGGCCUACCCACAUCAAUCUUAAGUCGAAAGAAUGCAUUCGAGACUUGCCUCCAGGCAAUCUGAUAGAGACAUUUUCUCAAAAGAGGAUGCUCUUCUCAGAUAACUCUUUAAUUUGUGCAGAGUUGCACCCUGCCCCCCGCCACACACACACACACACACACACACACACACACACACACCAGGCCAAACAAAGCAACAACAGGACAACCUGUUUAAUGCAGAAGUGUUUGUGUUUUCUGAGUACCUAUAAAUUUGUCAAGGAGCCACCAGCAAGCAGAUUUCAGCUCAAAUGGUUCAAAGGACAAGGUCUUUGUGGUGACCUCUUUGGGGAGGGUCCUUUGAGAGAGGGUUGGAGAAACGGGGAAUUUAGUAUAUCUAAUGUCUGGCAACAGCUGGAAACAGAGUUGUUAGGGGGCUAUUCAGAGCCACUAAUUCUGAGGAGUGUGUUUGUAUCUGUCAGGUGUGAGGGUCCAGGAAAGGCUGGGAACUGCUUCUCCUCCUAAGGGGCCCACAGGGUAUGGGAGUGGGGUUUUGAGUGAACAAGACAGCUUCCCUCCACCCCCAUGGGCUUACAGCAUCUGCUCCAGGACCCAAAGGGCACUUGCAGCACAUGCGCUCUGAGGUCUAACACUUACGCAUCCCCAACAUACACUGGAAAUAAAUCUACAGUGCAAGCACCGUGGUACACACCUAUAGUCUCCGCCCUUAGGAGGUGAAGGCAGGACAAUCAGGAGUUGAAGGUCAUCCUCAGCCUCAUAGUGAAUUGAAGUCUAGCCUGGGCUACAAGAGAACCUCUCAACAACAACAACAACAACAACAACAACAACAGCAGCAACAACAAUAAAAUCCAGGCAUGGUGACACAUACGUUUAAUCCCAGCACUCAGGAGGCUCUGGCAGGUGGAUCUCUGUGAGCUGGAGACUAGCCUGGUCUACAAAGUGAGUUCAAGCCAGGGCUACACAGGGAAACCCUGCCUUGAAGCGGGAGCGGGGGAGACAAGUUAUAUUUAAAUGAAAUGAAUGUUCUAUCGUAUGGGUUCUGAGGACCGAGCUGGGUCUUCUGGAAAAGUAGCCAGUGCUCUUAACCAUGAGACACCUCUCCAGCCCAAGGGCACCUCACAGCUCUCUGUAACUCCAGCGCCACAGGAUCCAACAUCCUCUUCCGCUCUCUCCUCCUCUGGGGCACUGCACACAUGUGGUGAGCACACAGAAAUGAGGCAAAACUCCCAUCCUCAUGAAAUAGUAAGUAAAAUGUUCAUCUGGUGGACAGUAGAGGUACCUGUGUGCACAAAACAACCCUUCUGGUUGCGGAAUUUUAUACACUCUGCUGAGUUGCAUUACCCUCAAUAAAAUCAAACUAAUAACUAA